rnacentral:rRNA from 1 species
CCUACGGGAGGCAGCAGUGGGGAAUAUUGGACAAUGGGCGAAAGCCUGAUCCAGCAAUUCCGCGUGUGUGAAGAAGGCCUUCGGGUUGUAAAGCACUUUAGUGGGGGAAGAAACAGCUUGGCCACACCAAGCCUUGACGGUACCCCAAGAAUAAGCACCGGCUAACUCUGUGCCAGCAGCCGCGGUAAUACAGAGGGUGCAAGCGUUAAUCGGAUUUACUGGGCGUAAAGGGUGCGUAGGUGGCUAUUUAAGUCGGAUGUGAAAGCCCGGGGCUCAACCUCGGAAUUGCAUUCGAUACUGAGUGGCUAGAGUUCGGUAGAGGGCGGCGGAAUUUCCGGUGUAGCGGUGAAAUGCGUAGAUAUCGGAAGGAACAUCAAUGGCGAAGGCAGCCGCCUGGGCCUGGACUGACACUGAGGCACGAAAGCGUGGGUAGCAAACAGGAUUAGAUACCCUGGUAGUCCACGCCGUAAACGAUGAGAACUUGACGUUGGUUCGUUUUACGAAUCGGUGUCGCAGCUAACGCGAUAAGUUCCUCCGCCGUGGGAGUACCGGCCGACGUAGGUUACGUAAAACGUUAAAAGUUAGAAGUACGACGGUAGUACGAGACCGUAGGACCGAACGGACCACGGACGAAGGGGAGAGG